ACUCAAAAUUAGCACUUUAAGCAACGGGAUUUAUCCGUUGGCGCCG
rnacentral:tRNA from 1 species